ACGACGUACUAUUUACCCAGUUCGUUUUAUGUUAACUUUCAGUAAUGGAAUCGAGUGAAAUAAUUUGGAAUUUUGGCCAUAACAUUACUGGUCAUAAUUUUUAUGGGAGCCGUAGUAUGGGUUAUCGUUUAUUUAGAGCAUUUUUUGGGACAACCCCACAAGUUUGUGAAGUUGAGCCAGUAGUGGAAUAAACGAGGCUUUAGUCGUCUAUUUAUGUUUAUAAAUUCCGAUUUUACUUCAUCUUUUCUUACUUCAGGUUUUUUAAUGCGUCCUAAAGUACGUUUUACUCCAGCUCCCGGCGUGAAACCCACGUUAAAAACCACUAGUGACAAUAUCCCUAAAAAAAAAUUCAGACAUCAUCAUUAAAAGGAAGUUAGGAAAAAACGUAAUACAGUAAACGAUCCGAUUAUAAACGGCUCUACAAGAAAAAAAGAAAAAAGGUUUACAGUCGCAUCAUACGGAAAAAAUACACACAUUUUGAAGAGGAAAACGGAGAGAUAUUUAAAAUAUCAAAAUCCAUUAAGGUUUUCAAAGAUGAAAACUUAUCAUGAUUUGUUUUGGGGAAUGUCGUCCAUUCUGGGACUUCCCUCGUGUGACAAGCUCAACCUCAUUUGCAGAAUUGAUGCUGUCCAGUUUACGGCAACACCUGUGUAGCCACCAAUCAUGAUGGGGUUCAUAGAUGUCUUCACGUUGUAUCUGCAGCUAGUCACCUACCGUUUCACCUGGAAGGUAACGUCUUCAAAAAGUUCGAUGAAAUGGUGGAUGAUAAUUAUUGCCCCCCACUCAGUAGCCCACGGAGUGGGUAAGCCGCAUGAUGGUGGUGGGAAAACCAGAUGGAAAGGUUCAGAUUUGCUUAAACCUGGCUGAACUCAAUCAUUAAAAGACAACACUGUCGUGCCCUACCGUUGAGCACUAUUUAGCAAAUAAAGUAAAACACGUCAUUUUUGCAGGCUUGGAGUUUCUAUGAGAUUCCGUAGUCCAAUUCAGCAUUUGUGCACUAUGGCAGCACCAAAAAGUCAAUACCACUACCUACGCUUGUCAUUCGAAUGGAAGUCGACUCCUGAACUUUUCCUGAUCGAGGUCGUUAUCACUAAAAAAUACCGCGGUCGUGAUCGUGCGAUCAAACGAUUGCGAUCAUCACAACUUUUGAGCUCGUGUCCUCUGCAAGCCAGUUCUGCGCUUAGGAGGGUCACAUAUUUUGUUAAUCGUUGUUUUGUAGGCAUUAGCAUUCGAAGAUAAAAAAGGUUUUAGAGUUAUCAAUUUACAUUAUAAAAGCUUUUGCAUUUUUUUACUUCUCCGUUAAAAAUUCUUUUUAUUCUCUGUAUUUUUGUAGAAAAGUGAGGUUUUUUGUUUUUGGUUUACUUCUUUCAGUAGUAGCAGUAACAAUUCUUUGGUUUCUUUUUAAAAAGGCGGGUUUGUUGUGCUGCAAUGUUUGCCGAAACAGCAAAACCUGUCUAGGCUAAGAUGACAAAAACACCAUGGCGUCGAAAGUUUAGAAACCAAAUUAUGAAUAUCCAAGACAAGUAGACUUUUGCUAUUGGUCUAACAAACUACCAACCAUGAGUCAACGUUAUGAAU